rnacentral:rRNA from 1 species
UACAGAGGGUGCGAGCGUUAAUCGGAUUUACUGGGCGUAAAGCGUACGUAGGCGGCUAAUUAAGUCGGAUGUGAAAUCCCUGAGCUUAACUUAGGAAUUGCAUUCGAUACUGGUUAGCUAGAGUAUUGGAGAGGAUGGUAGAAUUCCAGGUGUAGCGGUGAAAUGCGUAGAGAUCUGGAGGAAUACCGAUGGCGAAGGCAGCCAUCUGGCCAAAUACUGACGCUGAGGUACGAAAGCGUGGGGAGCAAACAGG